UCUUAAUCUUUCUUUUCAGCUCUUGCACUUCAUCCUCAAGCUGCAUCCUCUUCCUCAUAUAUGCCACCAUUUCGUUGCUCAAUUCAAUAUGGACUGCCAAUACUAAUUCAGAGAUGCUGCAAUGGAGUUUUUUUUUUGGGUUAUAGGUUAUACAGUUUUUUUGGGAAGAAUUAACAUGGUGUUUUUGAUUUUUUUGGAUGAAGAAAACUGGUUCAUUUCUUCCAUGUUCCAUGGAACCCAUGUAUUUAUGCAUUGAAUGAAGCAACGGUUACUUUUUUGGAUUUUA